UUCCAUCUCUAUAAAUUGGGACUUCGGACCUUUUCCUACGUCUCGCAUUGGGUUCUUUUGUGGGUUUUGUACGGCUACAGAGAGAGUAAGGUGAGGGAUCUUUGUGUGUUGAUUCGCGAUGCACGAUGCAGCGUUCGCAGUUGCAGUAUCAAUUCGGUUUUUUUUUCUUUUCCUUUGGUUUUUGUUCAUUUAUCCUCCGCAAAGCCUUGUUAAGGUCUAUUUGAGUACAAAUGUUUGUUGCAUGUAGCAAUAGGAAAAGGUUGUAGGUUCGCUGUGAAGCGGACGUUUGGAUUUUGACAGGUUCUGCUUCACCAUGGGGUAUGUUGAUGUUGAGAUACUGUGAUGCACGGUGCACCCCGGUUUUCUCUGAAGAGACCUGUGACGAUCGAAGCCCCAAUGCUUGUGCGGGAUUAAGCUUCCGUUCCGUGUUGCAGGUCUGUUGAUGAAAUCCCACCACUGGUCUGUGUCAAAGUGACGGCCAAAUUUCAGAACAUUUUCUUUGAAAUCGUUUCGAUCCAGUUGAUUUUUUGUAUCUUGUAGGUUGAUCCGCUUUAGAGAAUGUGUUCGGAAAGCUGUUACGACGUUUUUGUUUAGCCUCCUUUUACUUUGAUUUCUUCGUCUUUUGGCUUUUGUUGUUGUUGGGUCACCUGUGAUGACAUAUCCACGACUUGGAGGUGUAGAUAGGUCCAGGUCCCUGUUUUGCAGGGAGAACCUACUUGGAGCUGCUGCAUUCAGUUGACAUUUCUGGAUUUGUCUGAGGCAUUGUACCAAAAUCCAGCCUUUAUGACUUUGUAAUUAGCAGCAGGAUUCUUUAAGUUGUUCGUUGUCAAAGUACCAAUUAAAAUUUGGAGCUUUUCCAUUGAGCGAAACAAUUUUAGUCAGUUAUCUGUUGUUCACUGUUUUUUAUUGUGAUUUAGUGGUGAAUGUAUACUAAGUAUAAUGAAUAAGUUGCUUAGCCAAUUCGAGCGUAUGACUUAGUUGAGUUUGUUGUACGUUUGAUCAAAACCUUUCCAGAUUUUUCCUUUUUGUUUUUAGAUUUCGUAUUUUUCCUGGCUUUUAUAUGGUUGAUUUUUUUUUUUUUUGUGCAAAGGGAAUAUAUCGGAUGAGGUUUUGAACCCUUAAUUUGAGGUUUCAAACCCUCAACCUUUGGUAAUGCACCUUCACUAAACCAAUAUUUAAGUUGUAUGGUUGGAUAUAAUUAAUUAUACAUGACUUUAUAUAAUGCAUGAUGUUUCAUCUACUUGUUGGUCUAUUUAUUGGAACUUUAUUAUCCGAAUUUUGUGAUUUUUUUCUUAGUGUCUUAAUUGGGUCUUUCAUUGUUAAUCAUGUAACUUGGAACGAGUUAGUACUAAAAAAAGAAUGUUUGGAUGAUUCCUGCAACUUGUUAGUUGAGCAUUCUUUAGCAACUCUCGAGUUUAUCUUGAGAAAUGUUUUAGAUUGCGGAAGAUGAUUUAUCUGCAUGCAGGGAGAAUCUACGUGGGAAAGCAGCAACCCAUAUGACAUCAACUAAUACUUCUGAGGCUCCAAUCUUUUACUACUUAAAGUUAUUCUAGCCUCGUUGGUGCCUGUUAUGCGGUAUUUACUGUCAUUUAGUUGCAUGAUUUUAUGGUUUUCUCAAAACAUUAUAUAUCCAUUUGCACUCAUAUCUUCUGGAAGUUGUCUUUGAUGCGUAUGUAUAGAUGGGUAAAAGCAAUUAUUGUCUAUCUUUUCCUACAUACAAUAAUUUAUCCUUCUCUAGGAAGGAUGUUGCAGAUCAGUUUUGUAGAUAGGGCUUGUGUGUUACUAACUUUGUGACCUGUCACAUCGUAGUACCGGGACCAAUUACUCUCAUGAUAUAUCUUUCAGUAUCUUUCUUUAUAAGGUUUUUAGCAUGACAUCUUCUGAAGUCCAUUGCUUACAGUAUCAUUUGUAAUUUUUUAUAUAAUAUUUUGUGAUAUAUGUUAAAUAUUUUCCUUUUUGUUCCUUCAAACAAUUAUCCUUUGAGAACUAGUUUGUUUUGCCUAUCUAGUAUUGCAGUGAUUGUUGACAAUACCUGAGUUUAACUAUCCUCCAGCUGCUCGUUAAUGAUAGGCCUGGAGGCUGAAGAACUCAGAAAUAUUGUGUUGCCAUCAGCUUCAUCUCCUGUCCUAUGAGUUCGGAGUUAAAUAACAACACAAAAUUUUAUAUUUGUAGAUAUACAUUCUUGGAGUUUGUCAUACGUAUUCAUUUACUUAACAAUUACCUAUAUGAGUUGCCAGUGCUGACCUUCUCUUUGAUGUUGUUUUAUGUGAGCCCUAAAUUGGCAUUCAGGGUACGGCUGUUAAUGACCUUCUGGUAUUUUGCAACAUGGAGACCGAUCUGUCAAUAUCCAUCGAUGAAUUAGGCAACAACUAUUCUGUACUCGUCCUGUGCCAGUGUUAUGUUGGUAAAGGGACAUGUACAAGUUUUGGUGGUUCAGAUUCCCUCGAACUUUAUCCAGUUCGAUCAGAUUUCUACCUCUUAUACUUGUGACUAUAUCGAACCGGAUAGGUGAUAGCGACAUCCAAACAGCAUGCCAUAGUCUUCUUCCUCUGUAGGUGGAAUUGUGAAUGCUCCAAGGCGAUUAGAUCAAGCUCACGAUUGAUUUAACGUCGCCUUCUUUAAGAGUUUCGAGUGCACAGAUGCUUCUUCUAUUAGGUGAAUAACCUAAUAUUGUUAAUUUAAUACAGUGCAUUAAAUAUUGGUAGUAUCAUAUUGACUACAAGUUGUAUGAUGAGAUCUCUGUCAUCAGCCGAGGGGCUGUUUUGGGCAAUACCCUUUUGAGAAGCUUCAUAUUUCUGUAUUAGAAGUAUACUUGGGAAUCGUCUAAAUAGGAAUGUUGUGAGGGACCUGAUCAAAAUUCCCAGGUCUGUGGGCGAUCUCUCUGUAAAAACCGUAAUGGAUCUCCUAUUUAUCUCUUAUUUUAUUGGA